rnacentral:lncRNA from 1 species
AUCACAGAUGUUCACCAUUAUGUCGAAAAGACUUUGUUCUGCCAGGGCUUUGUUUCUGGGUUCUGAAUCAGAACUUAGUGGUAUUCCAAAUAUUUAUUCAGUCUCACCAUUUCCUCCCAAUUACUAGAUAUGAAACAGAAUUAUACAUGUCAUUCUUGGCUCUUUGCAUCUUUGUAUAGAUUCUCAAAAAGGAGCUCUGAGUCCUGCCCUCUAGACCUUGUCUUUCAGGGUGGUCAGCAAUGGCCAGGUGUGUCUGAAUAAUGGGCAUGGUGGGAGUAGUUAAAUUGGAGCGUUCAUGGACUGGAAACACAUUCUGCGCCACUGGCUGGGUGUAAUGCAAGGAAGGGACAAAGAUGAAAUGGAAACAUCUUCCUUUUUUGGUCAUAAUAUCACUCCUCAGAGUGUCGAAGCAUCACCUGUUUCUGGCCCAGCUUAUUCCAGGCAAUGCGGAGUACUGGCGAACAUUCAGAAAGCCUGAGGAUUGAAUUCAUCGGCGGAGGACAGUCAUCAUUGUUUAACAGUGCAGAAAGCCUUGCUGACUUUAAUAAUACAUGAGGACUGGUUCGAGCUUUUUUCUCACCUCUACUGUUGACUUUAUGCGUGCUGCCAUGAGCCAUGAAGUCUCCUCUUCAGGCUGUUUUCAGAAGGGGAAAUCAGAAAACAAGAGGUGGAAAAUUUCACUUUUGGUACAGUGACUCUCAUCU